UGAAAUGGCAAGUGAUAAUCGUUUCCCGAGUACAAAGGGGUAAGAAACGUUUGCAGGCGGAAGAAACACGAGGAAUCUUGUAGCAAUGCGGGAGUCACCUAUACACGUAGCAAGUGCUCGGAAGUUUAUUUACCUGAAACGAACGUUUCAUCGUAGCCGUAUCAAUUUGCAACGGGAACGUUGUACCAUUCAACUGAAUUAUUGCGAAGAAUAAUUGUACGAACGGAAAUUGAGUUCUCCGUGAAUUGCUUCCGAAGUUUCAAAGCAUUUUACCUGCUAACAGUACUCGGUGAUUAUUUUCGAAUGAAACGAUAGAAGGGAAGCCAAUACCUGUUAAUCGUUUCCUUUCUUAAUUAACAGAACUCCAGUGGGGAGGUGAAAAGGUGGUUACGAUGGUUUGUGGAAAACUUUUUCAAACUGUG